rnacentral:rRNA from 1 species
UAGGGAAUCUUCGGCAAUGGACGGAAGUCUGACCGAGCAACGCCGCGUGAGUGAAGAAGGUUUUCGGAUCGUAAAGCUCUGUUGUUAGAGAAGAACGUUGGUAGGAGUGGAAAAUCUACCAAGUGACGGUAACUAACCAGAAAGGGACGGCUAACUACGUGCCAGCAGCCGCGGUAAUACGUAGGUCCCGAGCGUUGUCCGGAUUUAUUGGGCGUAAAGCGAGCGCAGGCGGUUCUUUAAGUCUGAAGUUAAAGGCAGUGGCUUAACCAUUGUACGCUUUGGAAACUGGAGGACCUGAGUGCAGAAGGGGAGAGUGGAAUUCCAUGUGUAGCGGUGAAAUGCGUAGAUAUAUGGAGGAACACCGGUGGCGAAAGCGGCUCUCUGGUCUGUAACUGACGCUGAGGCUCGAAAGCGUGGGGAGCAAACAGG